rnacentral:tRNA from 1 species
GCGAGAGUGGCGGAACUGGCAGACGCGCAGGAUUUAGGAUCCUGUAGGGAAACCUGUGGGGGUUCGAGUCCCCCCUCUCGCACCA